ACUCCUACGGGAGGCAGCAGUGGGGAAUCUUCCGCAAUGGACGAAAGUCUGACGGAGCAACGCCGCGUGAGCGAUGAAGGCCUUCGGGUCGUAAAGCUCUGUUGUUAGGGAAGAACAAGUACCGGAGUAACUGCCGGUACCUUGACGGUACCUAACCAGAAAGCCACGGCUAACUACGUGCCAGCAGCCGCGGUAAUACGUAGGUGGCAAGCGUUGUCCGGAAUUAUUGGGCGUAAAGCGCGCGCAGGCGGUCCUUUAAGUCUGAUGUGAAAGCCCACGGCUCAACCGUGGAGGGUCAUUGGAAACUGGGGGACUUGAGUACAGAAGAGGAAAGCGGAAUUCCACGUGUAGCGGUGAAAUGCGUAGAGAUGUGGAGGAACACCAGUGGCGAAGGCGGCUUUCUGGUCUGUAACUGACGCUGAGGCGCGAAAGCGUGGGGAGCAAACAGGAUUAGAUACCCUGGUAGGCGUAG
rnacentral:rRNA from 1 species